CUUUGACCAGAUUACUUCGCUAAGACAGCAGGAGCUCGCCCCAGUCAUGUUAGGCUACCUGAAGCAGCAUUACCCAUGGAGCUCAAGCUGUUGGUCCGGCACCGGCGGCCUUGGCGCUUGGCUUGAGGAGAGCUUUGGCAAAUUCUCCAUCUACGUGGAUUACCAAGACCUGCGUGUCCUCAACGCAGGCUUCGACAGCUUUGAGUCUUUGGACCUCCUGAGCGCUUCUCAAGUGGCUCAACUGACACUACACUCUGG